UAGCUUAGGCGCUCCUUUCGGAGGUAGG
rnacentral:sRNA from 1 species